rnacentral:rRNA from 1 species
GUUUAACGGCCGCGGUAUUUUGACCGUGCAAAGGUAGCGCAAUCACUUGUCUUUUAAAUAAAGACCUGUAUGAAUGGCAUGACGAGGGCUUAACUGUCUCCUUCUCCCGGUCAAUGAAAUUGAUCUCCCCGUGCAGAAGCGGGGAUAUUAUUAUAAGACGAGAAGACCCUGUGGAGCUUUAAAUGAUGAGAGAUUUUAUGCAACAAACCUAAAAAGGUAUAAGCGAAUUUAUACUCCCUCUAAUAUUUUUGGUUGGGGCGACCGCGGAGUAAAAAGAAACCUCCGUGAGGAAUGAGGUAAUUAACCUUAAAUCCCAGAACGACAAUUCAAAGAAACAAAAUUUUUGACCUAAAGAUCCGGCAAAGCCGAUCAACGAACCUAGUUACCCCAGGGAUAACAGCGCAAUCCCCUUCAAGAGUCCCUAUCGACAAGGGGGUUUACGACCUCGAUGUUGGAUCAGGAUAUCCUAAUGGUGUAGCCGCUAUUAAGGGUUCGUUU